GUCCCCCAUUCCAGAGCAAUGGAAUUCCAGAGACUUACAAGGAGAGAAUUGCAAGCUCUCUGCAAGAAGAACAAAAUUCCUGCAAACAUGACCAAUGCUGCUAUGGCCGACGCUCUGAAAGCUCUCCAGCUCGUUGAAGGAAUUGAAGAAUUGACGCAGGUGUCUCAAUCUUAAACUGCACAAUCAUCAACAGAAUCACCAGUGAGAUGCGAGGUAACGUCUCCCAAUGUGGCUCCAACUGGUGGCAGAAGCACACGCCGGAGAAAUGUUGCAAAAGAAGAGCCUGAGUCUGUGAAGCCAAUGACUAGGACUCGGCGUACGGCUUGCAAGACCCUAGUUAAAGAUGCUGAUGAAUCAAAGGCUGAUGUAACCGAAACUCCAGUAUUGGUGGCGCAAACUAAUAGAAAGAAGAGUCAGAUGGCCUCGGCCUGUUGGAAAAUGGAUUCCCAGUUGAUGGAAUGUGUAGAGGAGGAAAAGAAAGAUGUUCCAAUGACUCCUGCUCCAAUGGGAGUUACUAGCCAAGAAGAAGGGUGAAGGAAGAGAGUGCGGUUCAGAAAGUGUAUAGCACACGACGGUCAGUUAGGUUGGCGUAGAAGAAUGUGGAGAAGUUGAAUGUGGCGGAAAAUGAAGGGUCUGAGCUUUUCAAGAAGGAAUUGCUUACUAAAGAUGCUGGUGAAGACGAGGAUAUGACUUUGAAAGAAGGCCCGAAUGAUUCUAAUUAAGUAUCAGGAAUUUACUGGUAUCUGUUCUAUAUAUAACAAUUCUUGUGCAGGAUCUCAUGAUGUUUGUACAUCUGAGAUUGAAGUUACAGUUGAAAACACGGAAGAACUGAAUAGUGAGAAAGAGAUAGGACCUCAAGACAAGGCAGCUGACUUUGUUGAAACUGUUGUUCUUGAAAGUAAAGGCAGAGAGAUAUUUCCAAGGAAUGAAUCAUCCGCGCGCAAGGAUGUUGAAGGUUGUUCAUCUUGAUCAUAUAACAGGAGCUGCUGAACAGAGCAAGGAAGCAGGAAGAAAGGAAGAAGAAAGAAGCCUCAGUCGCAUUUUUCCUCUACACGUUUUAGUUUAAAACACGGUUCUAUUAAUUGUUGUAUUUCUUGUUCUGUUUAUAAAAGAAGAAGAGAGCCUUCUUCUUCAAUGUACGUUUUAAAAGCCAAAGUAAUAUACAAAAGUUUGGUUGCC